AAAGAUUAGCGGCGGACGGGUGAGUAACACGUGGGCAACCUGCCUGUAAGACUGGGAUAACUCCGGGAAACCGGGGCUAAUACCGGAUAAUUCAUUCCCUCUCAUGNGGGAAUGCUGAAAGACGGUUUCGGCUGUCACUUACAGAUGGGCCCGCGGCGCAUUAGCUAGUUGGUGAGGUAACGGCUCACCAAGGCCACGAUGCGUAGCCGACCUGAGAGGGUGAUCGGCCACACUGGGACUGAGACACGGCCCAGACUCCUACGGGAGGCAGCAGUAGGGAAUCUUCCGCAAUGGACGAAAGUCUGACGGAGCAACGCCGCGUGAGCGAUGAAGGCCUUCGGGUCGUAAAGCUCUGUUGUUAGGGAAGAACAAGUAUCGGAGUAACUGCCGGUACCUUGACGGUACCUAACCAGAAAGCCACGGCUAACUACGUGCCAGCAGCCGCGGUAAUACGUAGGUGGCAAGCGUUGUCCGGAAUUAUUGGGCGUAAAGCGCGCGCAGGCCGGUCCUUUAAGUCUGAUGUGAAAGCCCACCGGCUCACCCCGUGGAGGGUCAUUGGAAACUGGGGGACUUUGAGUGCAGAAAAAGGA
rnacentral:rRNA from 1 species